GUAGGGCGGGACACGUGGUAUCCUGUCUGAAUAUGGGGGGACCAUCCUCCAAGGCUAAAUACUCCUGACUGACCGAUAGUGAACCAGUACCGUGAGGGAAAGGCGAAAAGAACCCCGGCGAGGGGAGUGAAAAAGAACCUGAAACCGUGUACGUACAAGCAGUGGGAGCACCUUCGGGUGUGACUGCGUACCUUUUGUAUAAUGGGUCAGCGACUUAUAUUCUGUAGCAAGGUUAACCGUAUAGGGGAGCCGAAGGGAAACCGAGUCUUAACUGGGCGUUAAGUUGCAGGGUAUAGACCCGAAACCCGGUGAUCUAGCCAUGGGCAGGUUGAAGGUUGGGUAACACUAACUGGAGGACCGAACCGACUAAUGUUGAAAAAUUAGCGGAUGACCUGUGGCUGGGGGUGAAAGGCCAAUCAAACCGGGAGAUAGCUGGUUCUCCCCGAAAGCUAUUUAGGUAGCGCCUCGUGAACUCAUCUUCGGGGGUAGAGCACUGUUUCGGCUAGGGGGCCAUCCCGGCUUACCAACCCGAUGCAAACUACGAAUACCGAAGAAUGUUAUCACGGGAGACACACGGCGGGUGCUAACGUCCGUCGUGAAGAGGGAAACAACCCAGACCGCCAGCUAAGGUCCCAAAGUCAUGGUUAAGUGGGAAACGAUGUGGGAAGGCCCAGACAGCCAGGAUGUUGGCUUAGAAGCAGCCAUCAUUUAAAGAAAGCGUAAUAGCUCACUGGUCGAGUCGGCCUGCGCGGAAGAUGUAACGGGGCUAAACCAUG
rnacentral:rRNA from 2 species